CAGGACGAACGCUGGCGGCGGGCCUAACACAUGCAAGUCGAAGGGGAUUCAGGGAGCUUGCUCCCUGAUGAGACUGGCGCACGGGUGAGUAACACGUAGAUAAUCUAUCUCCAGGUGGGGGAUAACCGCGGGAAACCGUGGCUAAUACCGCGUAAUGUAUCGGGGCCGCAUGGCCGCUGAUAUCAAAGAUUCAUCGUCUGGAGGUGAGUCUGCGUCGCAUUAGUUAGUUGGCAGGGUAACGGCCUGCCAAGACGAUGAUGCGUAGCUGGUCUGAGAGGAUGAUCAGCCACACUGGCACUGAGACACGGGCCAGACUCCUACGGGAGGCAGCAGUGAGGAAUAUUGCGCAAUGGGGGCAACCCUGACGCAGCCACGCCGCGUGCCGGAUGAAGGUCCUAUGGAUCGUAAACGGCUUUUACGGGGGAAGAACGGACUGGUUUCGACCGGUCGUGACGGUACCCUGGGAAUAAGCACCGGCUAACUCCGUGCCAGCAGCCGCGGUAAUACGGAGGGUGCAAGCGUUGUCCGGAAUCAUUGGGUGUAAAGGGUGCGUAGGCGGAAAUUUAAGUUUGGGGUGAAAUCCUGCGGCUCAACCGUAGAAUGGCCUUGGAUACUGGAUUUCUUGAGUGUAACAGAGGCAGGUAGAAUUCGUGGUGUAGCGGUGAAAUGCAUAGAUAUCACGAAGAAUACCAGUGGCGAAGGCGGCCUGCUGGGUUACAACUGACGCUGAGGCACGAGAGCGUGGGGAGCGAACAGGAUUAGAUACCCUGGUAGUCCACGCUGUAAACGAUGGAUACUAGGUGUUGGCCCCGGCUUGGCCGGGGGCAGUGCCGCAGCUAACGCAUUAAGUAUCCCACCUGGGGAGUACGUUCGCAAGAAUGAAACUCAAAGGAAUUGACGGGGGCCCGCACAAGCGGUGGAGCAUGUGGCUUAAUUCGAUGCAACGCGAGGAACCUUACCCGGGCUAAAUCUGUGGCGACCGGUCCCGAAAAGGACCUUCCCUUCGGGGCGCCAUAGAAGGUGCUGCAUGGCUGUCGUCAGCUCGUGCCGUGAGGUGUUGGGUUAAGUCCCGCAACGAGCGCAACCCCUAUCAUUAGUUACCAGCGCGUUAUGGCGGGGACUCUAGUGAGACUGCCUACGCAAGUAGUGAGGAAGGUGGGGACGACGUCAAGUCAUCAUGGCCCUUACGCCCGGGGCUGCACACGUGCUACAAUGGGGGGUACAGAGGGAAGCUACCUAGCGAUGGGAUGCCAAUCUCUAAAGCCUCUCCCAGUUCGGAUCGGAGUCUGCAACUCGACUCCGUGAAGUUGGAAUCGCUAGUAAUCGCGUAUCAGCAAUGACGCGGUGAAUACGUUCCCGGGCCUUGUACACACCGCCCGUCAAGCGAUGGAAGUGGGUAGUACCUGACGAUGCCGACUCAACCCUUCGGGGAGAUAGGUAUCCAGGGUAAGACUCACAACUGGCGCUAAGUCGUAACAAGGUAACC
rnacentral:rRNA from 1 species